rnacentral:rRNA from 1 species
AACGAACGCUGGCGGCAGACCUAACACAUGCAAGUCGAACGCAUCGCAAGAUGAGUGGCGCACGGGUGAGUAACACGUGGGAAUGUACCCUUUGGUUCGGAAUAACGUUUGGAAACGAACGCUAAUACCGGAUGAGCCCUGCGGGGGAAAGAUUUAUCGCCAAAGGAGCAGCCCGCGUCUGAUUAGGUAGUUGGUGGGGUAAAGGCCUACCAAGCCGACGAUCAGUAGCUGGUCUGAGAGGAUGAUCAGCCACACUGGGACUGAGACACGGCCCAGACUCCUACGGGAGGCAGCAGAGGGGAAUAUUGGACAAUGGGCGCAAGCCUGAUCCAGCCAUGCCGCGUGAGUGAUGAAGGCCUUCGGGUUGUAAAGCUCUUUCACACACGACGAUGAUGACGGUAGUGUGAGAAGAAGCCCCGGCUAACUUCGUGCCAGCCGCCGCGGUAACAC